UGGGGGAUAUUGGACAAUGGGGGAAACCCUGAUCCAGCGAUGCCGCGUGAGGGAAGAAGGUUUUCGGAUUGUAAACCUCUGUGGACAGGGACGAUAAUGACGGUACCUGUUUAGAAAGCCACGGCUAACUACGUGCCAGCAGCCGCGGUAAUACGUAGGUGGCGAGCGUUGUCCGGAAUUACUGGGUGUAAAGGGAGCGCAGGCGGGAAGACAAGUUGGAAGUGAAAUCUAUGGGCUCAACCCAUAAACUGCUUUCAAAACUGUUUUUCUUGAGUAGUGCAGAGGUAGGCGGAAUUCCCGGUGUAGCGGUGGAAUGCGUAGAUAUCGGGAGGAACACCAGUGGCGAAGGCGGCCUACUGGGCACCAACUGACGCUGAGGCUCGAAAGUGUGGGUAGCAAACAGGAUUAGAUACCCUGGUAGUCCACACCGUAAACGAUGAUUACUAGGUGUUGGAGGAUUGACCCCUUCAGUGCCGCAGUUAACACAAUAAGUAAUCCACCUGGGGAGUACGACCGCAAGGUUGAAACUCAAAGGAAUUGACGGGGGCCCGCACAAGCAGUGGAGUAUGUGGUUUAAUUCGACGCAACGCGAAGAACCUUACCAAGUCUUGACAUCCCUUGACGAACAUAGAAAUAUGUUUUCUCUUCGGAGCAAGGAGACAGGUGGUGCAUGGUUGUCGUCAGCUCGUGUCGUGAGAUGUUGGGUUAAGUCCCGCAACGAGCGCAACCCUUAUGGUCAGUUACUACGCAAGAGGACUCUGGCCAGACUGCCGUUGACAAAACGGAGGAAGGUGGGGAUGACGUCAAAUCAUCAUGCCCUUUAUGGCUUGGGCUACACACGUACUACAAUGGCGUUAAACAAAGAGAAGCAAGACCGCGAGGUGGAGCAAAACUCAGAAACAACGUCCCAGUUCGGACUGCAGGCUGCAACUCGCCUGCACGAAGUCGGAAUUGCUAGUAAUCGUGGAUCAGCAUGCCACGGUGAAUACGUUCCC
rnacentral:rRNA from 1 species